rnacentral:lncRNA from 1 species
AAAUUUAAUUUAUUUUAAUAAAAUUAUAAUUAAUUUACGUUUAAUGUUUAAAAUUUUCACGGUUCAAAAUGUCAACACAGUGACCAUACUCGUUAUUACUUUUGUCGAAUAGUAUAAAUCAAUCCCCAGCUACUUGGAGCGUAUGAAUAUGAAUUAUCUCUUUAAACAGUUGUUUAUAUCUAUUUCAAUAGUGUCGUUGUUGAAUAAAUACUAAAAAAGUAAAAUAAAAAUUGUGUAAUUCUCAUCCGUUAGGUUAGGUCAAAUUAAACAUAUUCUUUUGGAAAAACGAUAUGAUUAUUUUUAUUGGUGUGACACAAUCUUGG